rnacentral:piRNA from 1 species
UAAGAUGAGUGGGAAUUUCAUGCAGUGU